rnacentral:rRNA from 1 species
CCCUCCCAGGGUAAGGCGGGACCUAAGCUGAGGGCGAAAGCCGUAAGCGAUGGACAGCCGGUUAAUAUUCCGGUCCCGCGGCGAAAUGUUAUGUAUGGAGUGACGCAGUAAGGUAGGCCUAGCCGGCGUUGGUUGUCCGGCGCUACGACUGUAGGGUUGAUCGGGAGGCAAAUCCCCUGAUCUUUAAGCCUGAGAGUUUAUAGCAGAAGUCAUUGUGACUUCGAGUGGUUGAUCCUACACUGCCUAGAAAAGCUUCUAUCUAGUUUCGUUGUGCCCGUACCGUAAACCGACACUGGUGGGUAGGUAGAGAAUACUAAGGCGGCGGGAUAAUCUCUCUUAAGGAACUCGGCAAAUUAGCCCCGUAACUUCGGGAGAAGGGGUGCCCUCAUUAGGUGUAGUUAUUUACUGAUGAAGCCGAAGAGGGUUGCAGUGAAAGGGCCCAAGCGACUGUUUAGCAAAAACACAGGUCUCUGCGAAGCCGUAAGGCGAUGUAUAGGGGCUGACGCCUGCCCGGUGCUGGAACGUUAAGAGGAGAGCUUAGAUGUUAAAGUCGAAGGUUUGAAUCGAAGCGCCAGUAAACGGCGGCCGUAACUAUAACGGUCCUAAGGUAGCGAAAUUCCUUGUCAGGUAAGUUCUGACCCGCACAAAUGGCGUAACGACUUGGGCACUGUCUCGAGAGGGAUCCCGGCGAAAUUGCAUUAUGAGUGAAGAUGCUCAUUACCCGCAGCUAGACGGAAAGACCCCGUGGAGCUUUACUGUAGCUUGAUGUUGGAUUUUGGCCAGUCCUGUACAGGAUACGAGGGAGACUUUGAUGGUGAUACGCAAGUAUUGUCGGAGUCGUUGUUGGGAUACCUCGCUGGUCUUGCUGGAAUUCUAACUCGUGAUGUUAGCCAUUACGAGGACAGCGUCUGGUAGGCAGUUUGACUGGGGCGGUUGCCUCCUAAAGAGUAACGGAGGCGUUCAAAGGUCACCUCAGCCUGGUCGGGAAUCAGGCGAAGAGUGUAAGCGCAUAAGGUGGCUUGACUGCGAGACGUACAUGUCGAGCAGAGUGGAAACACGGAGCUAGUGAUCCGGCGGUGCCGCAUGGAAGGGCCGUCGCUUAUCGGAUAAAAGCUACCCCGGGGAUAACAGGCUUAUCGCGCCCAAGAGCUCAUAUCGACGGCGCGGUUUGGCACCUCGAUGUCGGCUCAUCGCAUCCUGGGGCUGAAGUUGGUCCCAAGGGUUGGGCUGUUCGCCCAUUAAAGCGGUACGUGAGCUGGGUUCAGAACGUCGUGAGACAGUUCGGUCCCUAUCUGCUGUGGGCGUUGGAAAAUUGAGAAGCUCUGUCCCUAGUACGAGAGGACCGGGAUGGACGAACCUCUUGUGAACCAGUUGUUCUGCCAAGAGCAAAGCUGGGUAGCUAUGUUCGGAUGGGAUAAACGCUGAAAGCAUCUAAGCGUGAAACCCACUUCAAGUUGAGUUUUCCCGCCACGUAAGUGGCUAAGACCCCUUGUAGACCACAAGGUUGAUAGG